rnacentral:rRNA from 1 species
GACGUAGGGGGGCGAGCGUUGUCCGGAUUUAUUGGGCGUAAAGAGCUCGUAGGCGGCUCGUUGCGUCGGCUGUGAAAACCCGCAGCUCAACUGUGGGCUUGCAGCUGAUACGGGCGGGCUGGAGUUCGGUAGGGGAGACUGGAAUUCCUGGUGUAGCGGUGAAAUGCGCAGAUAUCAGGAGGAACACCGGUGGCGAAGGCGGGGUCUCUGGGCCGAUACUGACGCUGAGGAGCGAAAGCGUGGGGAGCGAACAGG